rnacentral:rRNA from 1 species
GACGAACGCUGGCGGCGUGCUUAACACAUGCAAGUCGAGCGGAGCGGCGAACGGGUGAGUAACGCGUGAGUAACUGCCCCCCUCUCUGGGAUAACAGUUGGAAACGGCUGCUAAUACCGGAUAGUGGGGGAUGACUCGCGUCCUAUCCGCUUGUUGGUGGGGUAGUGGCCUAACAAGGCGACGACGGGUAGCCGGCCUGAGAGGGCGACCGGCCACAUUGGGCUGAGAUACGUCCCAAACGCGUACGGGGGGCAGCAGUGGGAAAUAAUGCACAAGGGGGGAAACCCUGAUGCAGAGACGCCGUGUGCGGGAUGACGGCGUGCGGGUUGGCAACCGCUUUCAGCCAUGACGCGGUAGUGGCAGAAGAAGCACCGGCUAACUACGUGCCAGCAGCCGCGGUAAUAC